AUAAAGCCCCUUUUCUUGACCCACAUGAUUGCGUGCAAACUACAUGGUGUCAGAAGUGGUCAGACUGUGGCCGGUGUACGCGGCUGGUAUACGCAGCCUUCGCAAGGAAAGCAGACGGGUAGCAAGCCAACAAGCACGGCUCGAAGGUCCGAACUAGUACUAGAAUGGAGAACGGGGAACAGCGCCAGCAGACCAGCGCCCAGUCACCUCGCUACUGCCACCGUUGAGAGUCCUGGACACUACAGGAGACGUAUGGCAAAGGUGGAAGACGUGGCGGCAGGUGUUCGAGCUCUUCGUAACGGCAACGUACCUAAACCAGCAACCCAAAGAGGGGGUGGUGAAACCAGCACGGCGGAUUCCAAUAGCAUUGCAAAGCAAGGUGCAAGCAGAGCUGGACCCCAUGGAGACAUCGGCAGUGAUGGUGCAAGUGACAGAGCCGACGGAGUGGGCCAGCGACAUGGUAGUCGUCACUAAAGGAGAGAAGGAAUCUGUCCGAUACCUAGGACACGUUCUGACACGUGACGGGCUGAGUUUGAAUCCACAGCGGCUAGAAGACAUCCUGCAAGUCCAGACGCCAAGCAACCAGAAGGAGCUGCAGAUGUUCCUGGCCAUGAAAAAAAUACCUCAGUGUCCUUCCAGUCUGUGCAUUGCACUAUCUUCGGGAUCAGCUCACAUAUGGGGAUUGCUCAACGCCUGCGUCACCUCCGCCGGGUGUUGGGCCUCUAUUGCACUACCUCCGGGAUCGGUCCACGUAUGAACAUUGUGAAUAUCAAGAUGCUGUUGCCAAAUCAAGAUGCUGUUGGCAGCAGCGCUGGACGUGUGCUAUUCCUUAUCAUGAAUGACUCGUAGCAACAAGCUCGCACCCAAACCCUUCUAAGGCUUCUAUAGUGUCACCAAAUGCUUUCAUAUGCUUUUUUUACUUCACCACUUUCUAGAUGCGUUUCCCAGCCCCUUCCUUGUAGCAGCUAGCAGUAUGUAAAAGUCCACUGCCUAGAGUUGCACAACACUGCACUGCCUACAUGAACAGCCAAGGUCAAGCAAUUAACGUUUAUUCGACAGAGUUUAAAUUUUUUUGUCGUUUUCCCAUAGACGGCAUGACAGAGACAGAUUCGCAUUAUUGAAUAGGAAAUGUACAAAGAUGCCUUCAGAAUCUGUGUUUCGUUCGCUUACACCCUCCCAGUAUACCUAUGAAGAAUCGGAUAGUCGGAAUAUUUUGAAUUCACUCUUUGAAUCGUCAAAGCCAACGAAUUCAAUAACGGCCCUACUAACAGCUUGCUGUAACCCUGCGGUGCUGGUAAAAUGCGUGUUCUUUUUUUAUACCACCCACUUCUC